rnacentral:rRNA from 1 species
GAUGAACGCUGGCGGCGUGCCUAAUACAUGCAAGUCGAGCGAACGGACGAUAAGCUUUCUUCUCUGAUGUUAGCGGCGGACGGGUGAGUAACACGUGGAUAACCUACCUAUAUGACUGGGAUAACUUCGGGAAACCGGUGCUAAUACCGGCUAAUAUUUUGAACCGCAUGGUUCAAAAGUGAUAGACGGUCUUGCUGUCACUUAUAGAUGGAUCCGCGCUGCAUUAGCUAGUUGGUAAGGUAACGGCUUACCAAGGCAACGAUGCAUAGCCGACCUGAGAGGAUGAUCGGCCACACUGGAACUGAGACACGGUCCAGACUCCUACGGGAGGCAGCAGUAGGGAAUCUUCCGCAAUGGGCGAAAGCCUGACGGAGCAACGCCGCGUGAGUGAUGAAGGUCUUCGGAUUGUAAAACUCUGUUAUUAGGGAAGAACAGAUGUGUAAGUAAAUGUGCAUAUCUUGACGGUACCUAAUCAGAAAGCCACGGCUAACUACGUG